UGGGGAAUAUUGGACAAUGGGCGCAAGCCUGAUCCAGCCAUGCCGCGUGAGUGACGAAGGCCUUAGGGUUGUAAAGCUCUUUUGGCGGGGAAGAUAAUGACGGUACCCGCAGAAUAAGCUCCGGCUAACUUCGUGCCAGCAGCCGCGGUAAUACGAAGGGAGCUAGCGUUGUUCGGAAUCACUGGGCGUAAAGCGCACGUAGGUGGGCAGUUAAGUCAGGGGUGAAAGCCCGAGGCUCAACCUCGGAAUUGCCUCUGAUACUGGCUGUCUAGAGUUCGAGAGAGGUGAGUGGAAUUCCAAGUGUAGCAGUGAAAUGCGUAGAUAUUUGGAGGAACACCGAUGGCGAAGGCAGCCCCCUGGGCUAACACUGACGCUCAUGCACGAAAGCGUGGGGAGCAAACAGGAUUAGAUACCCCUGUAGUCCCUGAGCGGGCUGGCAAGGCGCAU
rnacentral:rRNA from 1 species